UAAUGAUAUUAUUAUAGAGGGAAAUCUGUCUCAUAAGUAAGUUAUUACUUAAUGAUAAUUCGGUGAAUUGCAAAAAUAAGUUGUUUUUAUCAACUCAAUUUGCAGCCAAGUUUACUUUUGUACCUGCACCUUUCGACAAAAGCUUCUAUAGGUUAAAGCCAAAAUAAAGAGUAUUGAAAGGAUGCGGAUGAAGUGAGAAGGUUCAACGACUAACAGGUGAGCAGUACAAGCAAUAAACCUGACACGAGCGCCUAACAGCCAGCCAGAUAGAGUAAAGGCAGGUAGAUGACAUAGUCUAAACUUAUAGGUGACUAUAAG
rnacentral:ncRNA from 1 species